rnacentral:rRNA from 1 species
CGACCGGCGCACGGGUGAGUAACGCGUAUGUAAUCUACCUGUAACAGAGGGAUAACCCGGAGAAAUCCGGACUAAUACCUCAUAGCACAUAUUAUUCGCAUGAAUUUUAUGUUAAAGAGACUCGGUUACAGAUGAACAUGCGUUCCAUUAGCUAGUUGGCGGGGUUACGGCCCACCAAGGCAACGAUGUAUAGGGGUUCUGAGAGGAAGGUCCCCCACACUGGUACUGAGACACGGACCAG